UCGCUGCUGUGACACUGAUCUUUGCAAUGCAGCAGAUGGAGUGUAUAAGGGAAGCUUCCUCCUGCUCUUGUCUCCUCUGCUCUUCUACUUCCUGUUUCAGUGAAUCCAGCUGAACGUCAUAGACCAGCAGAAACUCAAUAUGAUACACUAUCUGAUACUGAAUAAAGCUUGUUUGUUGCUCUGC